GGAGAAAACGAUACCCUAAAGACAAACAAUAUACUUUUUGUCGGGGUAACUCAAGGUCACGAAUUGAUUAUAUCUUUAUAAGUAGUGAGCUUCAAUAUAAAUCGCAACAGGCAAAAAUAGUUUAUUUUCCGUUCAGUGACCACGACGGUGUAUUCAUGAAAUUAAAAACAAAUGAACCAGAACGCGGUCCCGGAAUGUGGAAAAUGAACUCAUCAGUUAUUCAAUC
rnacentral:lncRNA from 1 species